GGGAUAGCUCUGCCGCCGCCACCGUCGCGGGUCCUUUCCCCGGCUGUCGCUUCCUCGGCGGCCUCUGCACGGCACUCCGAGCGGCGACGGACUCGUAGAGGACGACGGCCGGUCCAAGAGAAGAUAAGGCUGGGCCGUCACGUGCGAUGGGCUCAGAAGAUGACUGGGCCUGGACAACAACAAAUGGACUUGCAUGUGGAUUCAGUUUGCGUUGCUUCGGAUUGCAGUGAAGUGGUGGCCAAUAUUGAAGCAGGCGUUCCGUGUCACUAUGUCACUAUCUUGAGGGAGAUCACAGCCCAGCGGACCUUAUUCCGAGACCCGAAGUUUAUCCGUGAGAAGCGUCAACAUAAUGGCGAGGCACACGCACUUGGCAAAGCUAGUUCUUCC
rnacentral:rRNA from 1 species